rnacentral:rRNA from 1 species
UACAGAGGUCUCAAGCGUUGUUCGGAUUCAUUGGGCGUAAAGGGUGUGUAGGUGGCGCGCUAAGUCGGGUGUGAAAUUUCGGAGCUUAACUCCGAAACUGCAUUCGAUACUGGCGUGCUUGAGGACUGGAGAGGAGACUGGAAAUUCAUGGUGUAGCAGUGAAAUGCGUAGAGAUCAUGAGGAAGACCAGUGGCGAAGGCGGGUCUCUGGACAGUUCCUGACACUGAGACACGAAGGCCAGGGGAGCAAACGGG